rnacentral:rRNA from 1 species
AUUAGCUAGUUGGUGAGGUAAAGGCUCACCAAGGCGACGAUGCGUAGCCGACCUGAGAGGGUGAUCGGCCACAUUGGAACUGAGACACGGUCCAGACUCCUACGGGAGGCAGCAGUGGGGAAUAUUGCACAAUGGGCGAAAGCCUGAUGCAGCAACGCCGCGUGAGUGAUGAAGGCCUUCGGGUUGUAAAGCUCUGUCUUUUGGGACGAUAAUGACGGUACCAAAGGAGGAAGCCACGGCUAACUACGUGCCAGCAGCCGCGGUAAUACGUAGGUGGCGAGCGUUGUCCGGAUUUACUGGGCGUAAAGGAUGCGUAGGCGGAUAUUUAAGUGAGAUGUGAAAUACCCGAGCUUAACUUGGGUGCUGCAUUUCAAACUGGAUAUCUAGAGUGUGGGAGAGGAGAAUGGAAUUCCUAGUGUAGCGGUGAAAUGCGUAGAGAUUAGGAAGAACAUCAGUGGCGAAGGCGAUUCUCUGGACCAUAACUGACGCUGAGGCAUGAAAGCGUGGGUAGCAAACAGGAUUAGAUACCCUGGUAGUCCACGCCGU